rnacentral:rRNA from 1 species
GAUGAACGCUGGCGGCGUGCCUAAUACAUGCAAGUCGAGCGAACAGACGAGGAGCUUUCUCCUCUGACGUUAGCGGCGGACGGGUGAGUAACACGUGGAUAACCUACCUAUAAGACUGGGAUAACUUCGGGAAACCGGAGCUAAUACCGGAUAAUAUAUUGAACCGCAUGGUUCAAUAGUGAAAGACGGUUUUGCUGUCACUUAUAGAUGGAUCCGCGCCGCAUUAGCUAGUUGGUAAGGUAACGGCUUACCAAGGCAACGAUGCGUAGCCGACCUGAGAGGGUGAUCAGCCACACUGGAACUGAGACACGGUCCAGACUCCUACGGGAGGCAGCAGUAGGGAAUCUUCCGCAAAGGGCGAAAGCUUGACGGAGCAACGCCGCGUGAGUGAUGAAGGUCUUCGGAUCGUAAAACUCUGUUAUUAGGGAAGAACAAAUGUGUAAGUAACUAUGCACGUCUUGACGGUACCUAAUCAGAAAGCCACGGCUAACUACGUG